CCAUAGGGAAUUCCCUGGUGGUCCAGUGGUUAGGACUCUGUGCUCUCACUGCUGAGGGCACCAGUUCAAUCCCUGGUCAGGGAACUAAGAUCCCAUAAGACGUGUGGGGCAGCCAAAAAAAAAAGUCACCACAUCAGAAUUUGAACCUAGCUCUGAUGACUGUUUUUUCUUAACUCUUCUAAUACCACAACUGAGAAACCUGAGACAUUAGCUUAUGCUAAAAGGUUCGUGGGACAUUAAUGAUCUGAAAUCUCUUUUCUUUUAGGUCCAGCUCUAAUCAGGGUGGUUUUUUGGUUCAGCUGAGACCAACUGUGGAUUCACUCCCAUGGCUUGUGGGCAGGUAUGUUUUUAGGAAACUACGUAACUUCUUGGCUGAGUCCUGUGGGUUUUUUAUCUUUUGACUCUGCAGUGGAUAACACAUGCCUUCCAGUGCUCAGGAUCCAGAAAUCAAUCAACAAGGCCUGAAAAUUACAGCAAAGGAGGAUGGAAGGAUGUCAUUCCAUGUGUUGGAUGGGCCGUGGUGCCUGCCUUUGUAAAGGCCAGGAUGCCUAGAGGAAGGAGGGUUAUGGCCUCUCCUCUUUCCUCGGUUAAAAAGUUGUGAUCUAACACAGGAAGUGGUCCCUCUGGUUUAUGGUCCUUCCAUUACUUCAUCAGAUACGGUGUAUGGGCCCAGAGCAGCUGUUUGCAGGCACCUAGCUUGGCCUGGCCUCACCUAAAGCUCAUUUUUGAAGGAAUGAGUCUGUUCGAGACUGUACUGGGGUAUAAUCUUAACUGGAUCGUUCAGUACACUUGGGGGAAGGUCAUCUGUGACCAGUACACUGCCUUGGCCAUCUCAAGCCUAGAGAGAUGCUGUCCUUACUCUGUGAUGUGUCCUUAUGGUAACUCCAGCUGCUCAGCCCUGGCAGCCCUUCCUUCGCCUCCUCUCUUGGCUGACCUGUGUGCUCCUGGAAACAUUAUAGGAGAAAGAGGGCCCUCUAAUGCCGAGAUUCCACUUGAAAACCACUGUCCUCCUUCAAUGGUUCCCAAGGGAGAAGAUGCCUUUAUUGGACAUCGGGGCAACACUUACUCGGAGGCUCCCAGCACUCAGGCUGCCAAGAAAACUGCAACUUGACCUCUUGUGUGGGUGCUCCACGAUGAACGAUCAGGCUUGCAAAGUUACUGCCUAACCAGGUGCCUCUACCACCCCAGCCCCAGGUUACCAGUGCAGGAUGUGGCCUCCUUGAGUUGCGUCCAGUGGAGGCUGAGGAAAUGAACCCCCGUCCCCCUUUGGCAGUGGAAAUGCCAAGUGGCUAUGGAAGUUAUCUUACACGGGUGUGGUCAGCAGCACCCAAACAGGAAUGUCUUCUUGGUAAAGGCUGCCUUAGAAAUGGUCCAGAAAGCAGUGCAGUUUUGAUUCAGAAAGACCAAAGGAAAGCGCCUGA